GAUGAACGCUGGCGGCGUGCAUAAUACAUGCAAGUCGAGCGAACGGACGAGAAGCUUGCUUCUCUGAUGUUAGCGGCGGACGGGUGAGUAACACGUGGAUAACCUACCUAUAAGACUGGGAUAACUUCGGGAAACCGGAGCUAAUACCGGAUAAUAUUUUGAACCGCAUGGUUCAAAAGUGAAAGACGGUCUUGCUGUCACUUAUAGAUGGAUCCGCGCUGCAUUAGCUAGUUGGUAAGGUAACGGCUUACCAAGGCAACGAUGCAUAGCCGACCUGAGAGGGUGAUCGGCCACACUGGAACUGAGACACGGUCCAGACUCCUACGGGAGGCAGCAGUAGGGAAUCUUCCGCAAUGGGCGAAAGCCUGACGGAGCAACGCCGCGUGAGUGAUGAAGGUCUUCGGAUCGUAAAACCCUGUUAUUAGGGAAGAACAUAUGUGUAAGUAACUGUGCACAUCUUGACGGUACCUAAUCAGAAAGCCACGGCUAACUACGUG
rnacentral:rRNA from 1 species